rnacentral:rRNA from 1 species
CAUCGCUCAACGGAUAAAAGGUACUCCGGGGAUAACAGGCUGAUACCGCCCAAGAGUUCAUAUCGACGGCGGUGUUUGGCACCUCGAUGUCGGCUCAUCACAUCCUGGGGCUGAAGCCGGUCCCAAGGGUAUGGCUGUUCGCCAUUUAAAGUGGUACGCGAGCUGGGUUUAGAACGUCGUGAGACAGUUCGGUCCCUAUCUGCCGUGGACGUUUGAGAUUUGAGAGGGGCUGCUCCUAGUACGAGAGGACCGGAGUGGACGAACCUCUGGUGUUCCGGUUGUCACGCCAGUGGCAUUGCCGGGUAGCUAUGUUCGGAAGAGAUAACCGCUGAAAGCAUCUAAGCGGGAAACUUGCCUCAAGAUGAGAUCUCACUGGGAUCUUGAAUCCCCUAAAGGGCCGUCGAAGACUACGACGUUGAUAGGUUGGGUGUGUAAGCGCUGUGAGGCGUUGAGCUAACCAAUACUAAUUGCCCGUGAGGCUUGACCAU